UGGAAUGCCACAGCGAAAGGAUUAUACUGGAACGGCGCAGCGAAAGAUUGGCCAUUCUCCAAAGGCUGAAACCCAUUUCGUACCGAGAAACGGGAGUGAGGAGGGUUUUCAAAAGAAUCCGCAGGAAGCGCAACUCUCUUGCCUCAGAAGGAAAAUGGGAUUCCAAAACCUGGAAGGAGACUUGCUCCCAGAAAAGUUGGGGGGCGAAAAGCAGUGGAUCGGAAGACCUGAUGCAGCCUUGCUGUAGUAAAGACUUGCCUGAUCAAAAUCCUUUAAUUGAACAAUGUUGUUUUGAAACUCCUCCACCAAUGGAACCCAACGCUAACAUCGUGAUGUGCCCAGAUCAGAAGCCACUUG